rnacentral:rRNA from 1 species
UGGGGAAUCUUAGACAAUGGGGGCAACCCUGAUCUAGCCAUGCCGCGUGAGUGAUGAAGGCCUUAGGGUUGUAAAGCUCUUUCAGCUGGGAAGAUAAUGACGGUACCAGCAGAAGAAGUCCCGGCUAACUCCGUGCCAGCAGCCGCGGUAAUACGGAGGGGACUAGCGUUGUUCGGAAUUACUGGGCGUAAAGCGCACGUAGGCGGACCAGAAAGUUGGGGGUGAAAUCCCGGGGCUCAACCCCGGAACUGCCUUCAAAACUAUUGGUCUGGAGUUCGAGAGAGGUGAGUGGAAUUCCGAGUGUAGAGGUGAAAUUCGUAGAUAUUCGGAGGAACACCAGUGGCGAAGGCGGCUCACUGGCUCGAUACUGACGCUGAGGUGCGAAAGCGUGGGGAGCAAACAGG